rnacentral:tRNA from 1 species
CGGAGAGUGAUGCAGUCUCGGGUGCUGCCGCCGCUUCGAAUACGGUCGGUUCGGGAAACCGAAUGGGGUUCGAAUCCUCCUCUCUCCGC